rnacentral:rRNA from 1 species
UACGAAGGGGGCUAGCGUUGUUCGGAAUUACUGGGCGUAAAGCGUGCGCAGGCGGCUUCUCAAGUCAGGGGUGAAAUCCCGGGGCUCAACCCCGGAACUGCCUUUGAUACUGGGUAUCUCGAGUCCGGAAGAGGUGAGUGGAAUUCCGAGUGUAGAGGUGAAAUUCGUAGAUAUUCGGAGGAACACCAGUGGCGAAGGCGGCUCACUGGUCCGGUACUGACGCUGAGGUGCGAAAGCGUGGGGAGCAAACAGG